GGGGUUGUGGUUUAAUGGCAGAACAUCUGUUUCACAUGCAGAAGAUCACAAGUUCAAUCCCUGGCAUCUCCC
rnacentral:tRNA from 1 species